rnacentral:rRNA from 1 species
GACGAACGCUGGCGGCGUGCCUAAUACAUGCGAGUUGAGCGCUGAAGGUUGGUACUUGUACCAACUGGAUGAGCAGCGAACGGGUGAGUAACGCGUGGGGAAUCUGCCUUUGAGCGGGGGACAACAUUUGGAAACGAAUGCUAAUACCGCAUAAAAACUUUAAACACAAGUUUUAAGUUUGAAAGAUGCAAUUGCAUCACUCAAAGAUGAUCCCGCGUUGUAUUAGCUAGUUGGUGAGGUAAAGGCUCACCAAGGCGAUGAUACAUAGCCGACCUGAGAGGGUGAUCGGCCACAUUGGGACUGAGACACGGCCCAAACUCCUACGGGAGGCAGCAGUAGGGAAUCUUCGGCAAUGGACGAAAGUCUGACCGAGCAACGCCGCGUGAGUGAAGAAGGUUUUCGGAUCGUAAAACUCUGUUGGUAGAGAAGAACGUUGGUGAGAGUGGAAAGCUCAUCAAGUGACGGUAACUACCCAGAAAGGGACAGCUAACUACGUG